rnacentral:rRNA from 1 species
ACGCGAAGAACCUUACCUGGUCUUGACAUCCCGGAGACCCUUAGGAAACUAGGGGUGCUUCCAUCUGGAAGAAUCUGGAGACAGGUGCUGCAUGGCUGUCGUCAGCUCGUGUCGUGAGAUGUUGGGUUAAGUCCGCAACGAGCGCAACCCUUGCCUUUAGUUGCCAGCAGUUCGGCUGGGCACUCUAAAGGGACUGCCGGUGUUAAACCGGAGGAAGGUGGGGAUGACGUCAAGUCCUCAUGGCCUUUAUGACCAGGGCUACACACGUACUACAAUGGCCGAUACAAAGGGCAGCGACACUGCGAGGUGAAGCCAAUCCCGUAAAAUCGGUCUCAGUCCGGAUUGGAGUCUGCAACUCGACUCCAUAAAGUUGGAAUCGCUAGUAAUCGUGGAUCAGCAUGCCACGGUGAAUACGUUCCCGGGCCUU